GCUCAGAAACUACAAAGGAAUUGACGGGGAGCACUACAACGGGUGGAGCCUGCGGUUUAAUUGGAUUCAACGCCGGAAAUCGUCGACCGGGGCGACAGCAAUAUGAAGGUCAGGCUGAAGACCUUACCCGAUUAGCUGAGAGGUGGUGCAUGGCCGUCGUCAGUUCGUACUGUGAAGCAUCCUGUUAAGUCAGGCAACGAGCGAGACCCACGUCCACAGUUGCCAGCAUACCCUCCGGGGUGAUGGGUACACUGUGGAGACCGCCGCUGCUAAAGCGGAGGAAGGAGUGGGCAACGGUAGGUCAGUAUGCCCCGAAUCUCCCGGGCUACACGCGGGCUACAAUGGUUGGUACAAUGGGCAUCUACCCCGAAAGGGGAAGGAAAUCUCUUAAAGCCAAUCGUAGUUCGGAUUGAGGGCUGCAACUCGCCCUCAUGAAGCUGGAAUCCGUAGUAAUCGCGUUUCAACAGAACGCGGUGAAUACGUCCCUGCUCCUU
rnacentral:rRNA from 1 species